rnacentral:rRNA from 1 species
UACGUAGGCAGCGAGCGUUGUUCGGAAUUACUGGGCGUAAAGAGUGUGUAGGCGGUGUUCCCAGUCUGUUGUGAAAUCUCCCGGCUUAACUGGGAGGGUGCAGCGGAAACUAGAAUGCUAGAGGGUGGGAGAGGUAAGCGGAAUUCCUGGUGUAGCGGUGAAAUGCGUAGAUAUCAGGAGGAACACCGGUGGUGUAGACAGCUUACUGGACCACUUCUGACGCUGAGACACGAAAGCGUGGGUAGCAAACAGG